rnacentral:rRNA from 1 species
AGUGAACGCUGGCGGUAGGCCUAACACAUGCAAGUCGAACGGCAGCACAGUAAGCGCUUGCUCUUACGGGUGGCGAGUGGCGGACGGGUGAGGAAUACAUCGGAAUCUACUUUUUCGUGGGGGAUAACGUAGGGAAACUUACGCUACUACCGCAUACGACCUACGGGUGAAAGCAGGGGAUCUUCGGACCUUGCGCGAUUGAAUGAGCCGAUGUCGGAUUAGCUAGUUGGCGGGGUAAAGGCCCACCAAGGCGACGAUCCGUAGCUGGUCUGAGAGGAUGAUCAGCCACACUGGAACUGAGACACGGUCCAGACUCCUACGGGAGGCAGCAGUAGGGAAUAUUCGACAAUGGGCGAAAGCCUGACCCAGCCAUACCGCGUGGGUGAAGAAGGCCUUCGGGUCGUAAAGCCCUUUUGUUGGGAAAGAAAAGCAGCAGGUGAAUACCCCGCUGUCCUGACGGUACCUAAUGAAUAAGCACCGGCUAACUUCGUG